AUCCAGCUGACGAGUCCCGAAUAGGAGGACGAAACACGCGUCUUGGAU
rnacentral:hammerhead_ribozyme from 1 species